rnacentral:rRNA from 1 species
GACACUGCUAUCAGAAUACGCCUAAGCCAUGCAAAUCUGCCCGUCGGCUUCGACGGACGGUGUACGGCUCAGUAACAAGUAGUCAAUCUGCCCUAAGGACGGGAGCAACCUCGGGAAACUGAGGUCAAUUCCCGAUGCUCCAUCUAUGCUGGAAUGCUUGAUGGGGAAAAAGCGCGGUGAAUCGUAGCCGUUGCGCCUUAGGAUGAGACUGCUCCUAAUUAGGUAGUUGGUGAGGUAACGGCUCACCAAGCCGAUAAUCAGUAGGGGCAAUGGGAGUUAGCGCCCCGAGAAGGGCACUGAGACAAGGGCCCUAGUCCUACGGGAUGCAGCAGGCGCGAAACCUUUGCAAUGCGCGAAAGCGUGACAGGGGAAUUCUGAGUGGCAGCCGGCUUUUAGCCGACUGUCUUUUGGCGAACCUAAACCGUUCGCAGAAUAAGUUCUGGGUAAGACCAGUGCCAGCCGCCAUGUGCAUUUGCAUAAUGCGCACGGUACGCGGUAAUACUGGCAGAACGGGUGGUGCCCACGAAUAUUGGGUCUAAAGAGACCGUAGCUGGUCUGUUAAGUCCACUGUGAAAUCUUGGGGCUCAACCUCAAGGCGUGCAGUGGAUACUGGCAGACUUGAGAGCGGGGGAGGUCAGGGGUACUUACGGGGUAUGAGUAAAAUCAGUUGAUCCUGUAAGGACCACCAGUGGCGAAGGCGCCUGACCAAAACGCGUCUGACAGUGAGGGUCGAAGGCUAGGAGAACGAAUCGGAUUAGAUACCCGAGUAGCCCUAGCAGUAAAUUAUGCAGACUGUGGUGUUGCUGUGGCUUCGGGCCACAGCAGUGCUGUAGCGUAGGUGUUAAGUCUGCCACCUGGGGAGUACGGCCGCAAGGUUGAAACUUAAAGGAAUUGGCGGG